rnacentral:rRNA from 1 species
AACGAACGCUGGCGGCAGGCUUAACACAUGCGAGUCGAGCGCCCCGCAAGGGGAGCGGCAGACGGGUGAGUAACGCGUGGGAACGUACCUUUUGGUUCGGAACAACUCCGGGAAACUGGAGCUAAUACCGGAUAAGCCCUAACGGGGAAAGAUUUAUCGCCGAAAGAUCGGCCCGCGUCUGAUUAGCUAGUUGGUGAGGUAACGGCUCACCAAGGCGACGAUCAGUAGCUGGACUGAGAGGAUGAUCAGCCACACUGGGACUGAGACACGGCCCAGACUCCUACGGGAGGCAGCAGUGGGGAAUAUUGGACAAUGGGCGCAAGCCUGAUCCAGCCAUGCCGCGUGAGUGAUGAAGGCCUUAGGGUUGUAAAGCUCUUUUGUCCGGGAAGAUAAUGACUGUACCGGAAGAAUAAGCCCCGGCUAACUUCGUG